rnacentral:rRNA from 1 species
AUUGAACGCUGGCGGCAUGCCUUACACAUGCAAGUCGAACGGCAGCACGGGAGCAAUCCUGGUGGCGAGUGGCGAACGGAUGAGUAAAGUAUCGGAACGUGCCCAGUCGUGGGGGAUAACGUAGCGAAAGUUACGCUAAUACCGCAUACGAUCUAUGGAUGAAAGCGGGGGAUCGCAAGACCUCGCGCGAUUGGAGCGGCCGAUAACAGAUUAGGUAGUUGGUGGGGUAAAGGCUCACCAAGCCGACGAUCUGUAGCUGGUCUGAGAGGACGACCAGCCACACUGGGACUGAGACACGGCCCAGACUCCUACGGGAGGCAGCAGUGGGGAAUUUUGGACAAUGGGCGAAAGCCUGAUCCAGCCAUGCCGCGUGCAGGAUGAAGGCCUUCGGGUUGUAAACUGCUUUUGUACGGAACGAAAAGGUUUGGCCUAAUAAGCUGAGCUCAUGACGGUACCGUAAGAAUAAGCACCGGCUAACUACGUGCCAGCCGCCGCAGUAA